AAAGCUGUGUUACUUUGCUUACCUAAAACACCAGGUUGCUCAAAUAAAGAGCUCAAUGGCCAGUAGCUAGGAAGGAGAGAGAAAUAGGCAGGGCUGACUGGCAGAGAGACUAAAUAGGAGGAGUAAUCUAGAGAAGAGGAUGAGAAGCGAGAAAAGGAGGAGAGGAAAACACCAGGGGCCAGCCACCCAGUCACACAGCCAGCUACAGAAUAAGGAGGAAAGAAAGAUAUAUGGAAUAAAGAAAGGUAAAAAGCUCAGAAGCAAAAUGUUGUUAAAGAGAAAUGGGAUAAUUAAAGUUGGAAAAGCUGGCUAGAAACAAGCCAAGCUAAGGCCAGGCAUUCAUAAGUAAGAAUAAGUCUCCAUGUAUUUAUUUGAAAGCUAAGUGGUAGGCCCCCAAAGAGUAAAACAACAACAACUACAUUUUGGCAUACCAAUGUGAGGCUCAAAUAUCCACCUAGGGCCUAAGAAAGCUGGAAAAAAAAAAAAAGGACAAAGAAAAAGGACAUGGAUCCUUUAAGAGACACUGCCAUUCAGCUAGCAGUGCUAAAUAGAAAUGGCAAGCUAAGUAAAAGCACCUGUGGCAGUGGAGGCACCAGCUUCCUAGAGCUAGGAAGGUUGAUUCCAGUUCCUGGUCACAUGCACCUCUGGACAGCACUUGAAGCUUAAGGCUUGGCUUUCAUGGACCUGAGAAGGAGGUGGAACUAGCUGCUAGAGCCAUUAGGAGGACCAGCUGUAGCUUAGCAGUUUAAAGUUUGCUCACAGGACCAAAAAGGCUAAAAGAUAUGCAGUAAAGAGGUCCAGAUGGAAAAAAAAAACCUCUAAACAGGUUACAGUGUGUUUAACAAAGUGUGUAGGCUUACAAUAGAAAAGAAAAUGGGUGUAGACAGUCAUAGAAAGAAAUAAAUAGCUUAAAAUAUUAAAGCCUUUAAAAAGAUAGUAAGAGUAAUAUGAAAGAAAAAAGCCAUAUAAUGAUAGCAAAUACACAGGGAGUCUGGAUCCUUUAUGGUAUUGUGUUGAUUUUGAAUUUUUUUUUGAAUGGUGAUGAGCAAACAACAGCUGCUGACAGGCAUAGGGUUGUAAACAGGACUGCUAAACUGAACCAACCUAGAUACUUUAGGGCUCUCUUAACUUUUAAAAAGUCAAAAAAUACAUUAAGUUGUGGAAGAGGUUUUGCUUUUGUUCCCAAAAGACACAAGAGGCAGUGGAUUCCUUCAAGGUUAACAUGGAUCAGGUUUGAUUGGGGACCUCCUGAAUCUCGACAGGAAAAAGACUGCUGAACUUUGCCAAGACAGUUUUGUAAGGAGAAAGGAGUUUCUUUGCGGAUGUAUGUGAUACAGAAGGAUUGUGUUUGACACUCAGAACUUCUGUGACUCACUGAUCUUCAAGAGUGAGUUAGUUAUGCUUCUUACUGAACAUGGUUCUUGGACUCAGACUGCAUGAGGACCCGACUCGGAUUGUGUCAGGGCCCAUCAGUGCACAUCAGAUUUGGCUCGCAUCAGGACCCAUCAGUGCACAUCCUGGACUCUAGACAAAAACAGUAAUUCUACCUCCUCCUCAGAGGAGUGAGAGGACACAUAAAGGGAGCUUUGCUCUGGAGAACACAACUUGGCUGAUAUUUAAAAGACAUACUGAUUUUAGUAAAGGAAAAGAACAUGAUUUUCAUACAUACACAAAAAGAACACUGGAAAUGAUUUGUGUGGUGGAUCCUGAAAGACAUGCAUCUGGCAGGUGCUGCAGCAUCCUUCAGAGCUGCCUACAGUCUACGGGAGGCUGCCACCACCUCUUACAGACUAGCUGUGGCAUUAUCAUUUUACAGAUGUAGAAUCUAAAAACAUGGGGUUUAAUUUGAUUAAGAUUCUGUACAAGGUCAAUGGGAGAAGCACGGAAUGAAAACCAGAAGGAACUGUUGGUCUGUAUAAUACUCGUCAGUAUACCAUGGGGAAAAAUUAAUUCAAAAUAAAUGGGCCAGCCUAUGUGGAAUCUGGAAGAAACUGCUAAUAUUAAAAAAAAAAAAAAAAACCGCAUAAAAACAAAAUGACAAUUUUACAAUCUCCAAAUAAUGCAACAUCUUCAGCGGGAAGAAAGCCCACUUAUUCUGAGGGGAAUAGGAACUACCUGGUGUCUGUUCUAUGACCAUGUGCUGCUGGGUGAUGGUGGCACACACCUUUAAUCCUAGCACUCAAGAGGCAGACACAGGUGGAUCUUUGUGAGUUCAAGGCCAGCCUGGUAUAUAAAGUGAGUUCCAGGACAGGAACUCUGUUAUAGAGAAACCCUGUCUGGAAAAACCUAAAUAAAUAAAC